GCAUCCAACGCGUUGGGAGCUCUCCCAUAUGGUCGACCUGCAGGCGGCCGCGAAUUCACUAGUGAUUCGUAUUACCGCGGCUGCUGGCACGGAGUUAGCCGGAGCUUAUUCUCCCGGUACUGUCAUUAUCAUCCCGGGUAAAAGAGCUUUACAACCCUAAGGCCUUCAUCACUCACGCGGCAUUGCUGGAUCAGGCUUUCGCCCAUUGUCCAAUAUUCCCCACUGCUGCCUCCCGUAGGAGUCUGGGCCGUGUCUCAGUCCCAGUGGGGCUGAUCAUCCUCUCAGACCAGCUAAGGAUCGUCGCCUUGGUGCGCCUUUACCACACCAACUAGCUAAUCCUACGCGGGCUCAUCCCUCGGCGAUAAAUCUUUGGACUUACGUCGUCAUCCGGUAUUAGCAGUCAUUUCUAACUGUUAUUCCGAACCAAGGGGCAGAUUCCCACGCGUUACGCACCCGUGCGCCACUAAGGCCGAAGCCUUCGUUCGACUUGCAUGUGUUAGGCAUGCCGCCAGCGUUCGUUCUGAGCCAUGAUCAAACUCUAAUCGAAUUCCCGCGGCCGCC
rnacentral:rRNA from 1 species